GCACGCGAACUUAACCACUUGGCCAUGGGGCAGCCCCUCACGCCUUUUUUUUUUUUAAAUCAUUCUAACUUGAUAUUCAAUUUUAUUAUCUGGCAUGGCAAAACACUCUUGUUAUUCUCCUUCAAACCUGUCUGUCCUCUUUUUCCCACUUGAAUUUCAGACAUCUGAUUGAGUCUCCUCUAUAUUCCUCUGACUCAUCUCAAAAAAACCCCGAAAAAUUGACUUGGUGUUUUGAUUAAAAUUUGUAGUAAACCUAAAAAUUAGUUUGAGGGAUAAAUGAUUGGUUUACAAUAUGCAGUCUUUCCAUUUGAGAACAUGGAAUUAAAAAAAAAUGUUUACUAGUAAAGUUUUAUGAUUGUCUUCAUAAAGAUUCUGCAUGUUUCUUCUUAAAUAUUCCUUGCCUAGUUUAUAAUUUUUGUUGCUACUCUCAGUAGGAUUUUCUUCCUUUCUAUUUUCUACCAGGAUAUUAUUGGCAUAGGAAAGUUAUUGAUUUUAAAAUAAUUUUUGGUAAUUCAGAAAAUACACUGAACUCUUUUUUGGGAUAUCUAAAUAACUAAACAUGUAAAUAAUGAUUUUUUUUCUACUUUCUAAUGCAUCUCUUAUUUCACUUUUGGGUCCAACUAUACGGGCUGGAAGUUUCAGAACAAUUUAAAUAGUGGUGAUGGUAUUACUGUCUUGUUACUUAAUAUAAUGAGAAUGCCAAGUGUGUUUCAUGGUGACGAAGUCCCUUUCUCAGGGGGAUGGUGGACAGGGCAGUGAGAAUAGGUUAACAGGUUCUUGGAAAUGCAAGUACUUUACUUUAAUGCUUUCAGGAGAGUUAAAGCCUGGUCCCAGUGGAGACAGUUUCUCCCCAUCAAACAGGAAGAACGGCUCUUCCUUCUUUUCAAAUUCCCCAAAAGGCAAAAGGAACCUCUAGCCAUAAUUUUUUCUAUCUACCAAGCAUCCAAUCAAACAUUAGUCAUCCAGGCUACAGUGAAGUUUACAACCCUUGGUAAAGUCAAAGGCUUCACCAAACCCUUACUGCCUACUUAUAGGCUCGUGGUUUUGACCACUUCCUUCCCUUAUUAUCAUCCAGCAAUUUAUUCUCCGUUGUUCCCCAGCAGGAAGUCCAGCACUAUCAUUUGCACACAUUCUAUCAGCAUGUGUGGAUUAAACCUGUUCCCUACCACAGACAGGACCGAGAAGCCUCGGGUACGGUACAGGUCAUCCCGUGCAAAACACCCAAUUCAGAAGAUCACCCCUUUGGGCUCAGAGUGUGUGGGGCAUGUGAGCACUCUACAUCCACGAGACAGGAUGACCAUACAUCCCAUUUUGUCCAGGACAGUCCCCAUUUAUGACUUUCCCCAUCAUGAAAUCAUUAACAACACUCUUUCACAUGCAUAAGGUUCCCGGUUGGGAUCAUACCAUAUUAUAUGCUCACUUUACCAGUACAAUGAACUAGUUUUCACUGCCUGGGAGCUUAAGACGGCCCUCAGAACUGGGGGAAAUGUAUAUUUAGAAUGUAUCUGAUGCAUUUAAUAUAUAUUCAAAGAAAAAUGGUGUGUUUGUGUGGGAUGCUGGUUGUUCAUUUAAGUUUUUUUUUUUAAUGAUAGAGAAGAGUUUUCUAGUACUGAUUUAUCAAGUUGUCUUUUUUUUUUUUUUAAAGACAUAGGUGUUUCCCUUUUAAGAUACCUUUUUAGCAUCUGAAAUACUGACAAACUGAUGUGGUAAAUUUCAUUAAUAAAUCUAACAUUAAAUCACUCUUGCACUGCUAGAACUCAUUUUCACUUGAUAAUGAUGUGUUUUUACUUUGACACAUUGUUGAAUUUGAUUUGCUAUAAUUUAUCCUAAAAUACUUUAAUCUAGUUCUAAGGGAUACCUUUUCUUGUGUUUUGGUAUAAGGAUUAUGCUGGUUUAUUUGAUACAAUAAACUGAAAAACUCUUAGUAUUUUUCUGUGUUCAGAAAGUUUCAAUAGCACAGAAGUUUUCUGUGCCUUCAAAGUCUGAAACACUUGCCAAUGAAACUAUGUGAGCAUGGAAGUUUUUUUGAAACUAUUUUUUUAUUAAUUUUUUUUCAAUUAUUAUCAAGCUAUUCAGGCUUUCACUUACUGAGUUAAUUUUGGAAAUUUGUGACUUAGAAUUAACUACCAUAAGUUAUACAGUGUAUUUUCUUAUGAUUUUUUAAAAUCAUGUUUUAUCUGUAACAUAACUGUUAUUCUUCUUAAUUUGGUAAAUCUGUGAUUUUUAUCCUUUUUUUUCCAGGUUAAGUUUACCAGAGAGUUAGGGAACCAUGUCUUAGAGUAUUUGAAUUUUUCUAUUUUCUAAUAGUUUUCUAUUAUAAAAUUUUCUAGAUAUUUUUUCAUUCAACAAAUAUUUAUUGAGCACCUACUGUGUGUCAUGCACUCUUCUAGAUGCUAGUGAUACACCGGGGUAAACAAAACUGGCAAAAAUCCUCGUCUCUGUGGAGCUUAUAUUCUUAUAAAGCAGACAACAAGCAUGACAAAUAAAUAAAUAAGUAUGUUACAUCAUGAUAAAGCAGGGAAAGGAGGUGGGGGUGACACGUCAGGAUGUCCAGGGAAGGCUUUACUGAGAAGCCAAUAUUUACUGAAGAGGUGAAGGAGGGGCAGCAAUGAGCUGUGCGUGACCUCGUGACCUCGGCUACUGGGAAGGAGAGGGCUUGAGAGGGAGGGGGCAGCAGGGUGACAGCCCCUGAGGAGGACAUGUGCCAGGGACAGCUAGGAGGCCAGCGUGGCCACACAGAGUGAGUGGAGGCAAGCUCACAGGGGAGAGGGAGGCAGGAUGAGUAACAAGGCAAUCACAGGUCCACGGUCCCCUGUUGGCUUUUAUGAGCCCCUUAGGACAGCUGUUUUUCAGAAUUUAGAAAGGUAAUAUGUUGUGUAUUAAGUCAAACUCCGCUGGGGCUGGGGUAGCACCCUGUAAUCAAACACAAUAAUAUUUCUUCAGUGAAACAAAGAGUCAUACUAAGUGGGAUAAAGAAAGACUAUAAUAGGCCUCUUGUUCCCAGUAAUUCUGCCACAAAAUAAGUCUGCACUAAAUUUAGGGGAAUAAAUGAUUUUCAGAACUUUGUGGAUUUCAGAAUCGCAGCUAAAGGAUUGUGGACGGACUCCAGGCGAGAUCAUGGGGACCCUGCUGGCUCGAGGAGAGGCUUCAGCUUUACUCUGUAUUUCUGCUUUUCUAAUUACCAUCUCCUUCCUCUCAAACCAAAAUGGAGUAACAGUGAUCACGUUUACCCUCAUGCUAAAAAACUGAAAAUAAAAUGGACAAAAUAUAAACAUAGUUCUAAAGACAUUGGGUAUCGGUCAACAAAGGAGAGUGGUCCCCAAGAGACAAGAAACAAAUGAGGUAAGCCCUACAAUUGCCCCAUCUUACUACCUGGAGAAAGUUUACAGGUCAUGGUGCAGGAAGAAGAACCCAGAGGAAGCCCAUUGACAUCCCUCAGUUGAGGAGACAAAGCUGGGAAUCCAAGGAGCCCAAGGCAGCUGGAGUUUACAGGCCAGAGCACCAGCGAGGACAAUGCCUGACAGAGAGAAAACUGAGGAGAGAUGAUGAGGGGCCCCUCAAGUGUUCAGCUGAGUACUGAUCAGCACAGGGGUGGUAGGAAACUACUCAAGCAGGGAGAGAAACACCCAAAAGGGCUAAAGGAAACAAACUUUGAUGCUACACAGGGCCAAGAAUAAUGCCUGUUCCCACCAGCAAGAGGGAAAACCUCAUAAUUCAUUGGGAAGAGAGAUCGUAAGGGUUUUUCUUUACCAGUGGGGCAAACUUAGGCAUGCACAAAGUGGUGGUCCCACCUUACAAAACUUAAAUGCAAUACCUGAAAGGAUCAAACUGUUUCUAAGUAACUUAACAAUUGCCCCAGAACAAAGCCAAGUAAUAUUUAUAAGAAUACAAAAUUAUCCGGCACCCAAGAAGGUAAAAUUCGCAAUGUCUGGAAUCUAAUGAAAAUCAGACAUGCAAAAAAGAAAAUAUGACCCAUAAUCAGGAAGAAAAUCAAUCAGUUGAAACAAACCCAGCAAAUGUCACAGACAACAGAAUUAAUAGACAAGGACAUGGCAAUGUCUGAGAUAAAAAGUAUACUGUAUGAGUUUAAUGGCAGAUUAGACACUGCAGUAGAAAAGAGUAGUGAGCUUGAAGACAUAGCAAUAGAAUCUAUCUAAAUGAAAUACAGAGAGAAAAGACUGAAAAAUACAAUGAACAGAGCAUUAGUGAGCUACAGGAACACUUCAAGCGGCUUAACGUGUAUUUGGAGUCCCCAAAGGAGAGAAGAGGAGAUAAAAAAAUAUUUGAAUGAUAAUGACUGAAAAAUUUCCCAAUGAUGAAAACUAAAACCCACAGAUGCAAACACAAGAAAUAUGAAGAAAACCAUACAAAGAUACAUCAUAAUCAAGUUGC